AUAAGAACUUUUAUUUUUUAAGAAUGUUACCAAUUGAAAACUGUAUAUUUAGUGUUUAGGAAGUUCAGUUUGUCUGUGUAAAUUCAAAUGAACCAAGCGAGUCCUCAGUUUAGAUAUUUCACUGCUUAUAAAAUAAUCCUUGUUGGGAAUAAAAGGCAGAAUGUGUGCAGAUCUACAGUGUGUAGUUUAUUCCAUUACUAGAUGAUUGUAGAACCCAUUAAUAUUGUAUUAUAUGUCAGAAAUAGUGCGUGUAGAGGCUGAAGAGAGUGGCGUGUUUAGAGCAGGAGGUUUUUGUACAGCCAGUAAACCAGUUUGUAUCACUGUGGUGGACUUUUGGUGGAGGAACCAAACUGUCAGUUGGAAGUUUGGCCGCGCCCACCCUCACGGUCCUGCCCCCCUCCAGCGUGGAGCUGCAGCAUGGGAAAGCCACACUCGUGUGUUUGGCCAACAAGGGCUUCCCCUCAGACUGGAGGCUGAGCUGGAAGGUGGACGGGAUCAGCUGGAGCUCGGGGGUUAGCCAGAGCCCUGGGCUUCUGCAGAAGGACGACGGCCUCUACAGCUGGAGCAGCACCCUGACCCUCCAAGAGGACCAGUGGCUAAAGAAGACAGUGACCUGUGAGGCCACCAAGGACUCCCAGCGUCCUGUCAGCCAAACCCUGAGGAGAGAGCAAUGCACUGAGCAGUGAGUGUCCAUGCAUGUGUUGGAGCUGCUAGAGCUCCUCUUGAUCUUCAGUGAGCUCAAACAUGGCUCUGCUUAAUGCUCUGAUCUUCAUCUCAUCACUUCAUCAUCACUUUUUUGUUUUGUUUCCUCGACCAGCAACAAUAAACAUGUACACUUUUCUUUUUUUGUUCAUUUCUCUUGUAAUUAAUAAAGCUUUUGAAACAGU